rnacentral:rRNA from 1 species
CCUACGGGAGGCUGCAGUGAGGAAUAUUGGUCAAUGGACGAGAGUCUGAACCAGCCAAGUAGCGUGAAGGAUGACUGCCCUAUGGGUUGUAAACUUCUUUUAUAUGGGAAUAAACUGUUCCACGUGUGGGAUUUUGUAUGUACCAUAUGAAUAAGGAUCGGCUAACUCCGUGCCAGCAGCCGCGGUAAUACGGAGGAGCCGAGCGUUAUCCGGAUUUAUUGGGUUUAAAGGGAGCGUAGGUGGAUUGUUAAGUCAGUUGUGAAAGUUUGCGGCUCAACCGUAAAAUUGCAGUUGAAACUGGCAGUCUGGAGUACAGUAGAGGUGGGCGGAAUUCGUGGUGUAGCGGUGAAAUGCUUAGAUAUCACGAAGAACUCCGAUUGCGAAGGCAGCUCACUGGACUGCAACUGACACUGAGGCUCGAAAGUGUGGGUAUCAAACAGGAUUAGAUACCCCGGUAGUC